UUACGACCACAUCACAUUGUAACACCGGUUCCCGUACGAUCACCGAAAUUAAGCAGCGUCAAGCUUGGUUAGUACUUGAAUGGAUGAUCUCUUGAGAAUACCAGAUGUUGUCA